GGGUUGUGAGGUUAAGCGACUAAGCGUACACGGUGGAUGCCUAGGCAGUCAGAGGCGAUGAAGGGCGUGCUAAUCUGCG
rnacentral:rRNA from 1 species